UACGUGAGGUGCGAGCGUUAAUCGGAAUUACUGGGCGUAAAGCGUGCGCAGGCGGUUCGUUAAGUCAGGGGUGAAAUCCUGGAGCUCAACUCCAGAACUGCCUUUGAUACUGGCGACCUUGAGUCCGGGAGAGGUGAGUGGAACUGCGAGUGUAGAAGGUGAAAUUCGUAGAUAUUCGCAAGAACACCAGUGGCGAAGGCGGCUCACUGGCCCGGUACUGACGCUGAGGUGCGAAAGCGUGGGAGCAAACAGG
rnacentral:rRNA from 1 species